UACGUAGGGGGCAAGCGUUAUCCGGAUUUACUGGGUGUAAAGGGAGCGUAGACGGUGAUGCAAGUCAGAAGUGAAAGCCCGGGGCUCAACUCCGGGACUGCUUUUGAAACUGUGUGACUGGAGUGCAGGAGAGGUAAGCGGAAUUCUUGGUGUAGGGGUAAAAUCCGUAGAGAUCAAGAGGAAUACUCAUUGCGAAGGCGACCUGCUAGAACAUAACUGACGCUGAUGCGCGAAAGCGUGGGGAGCAAACAGG
rnacentral:rRNA from 1 species